rnacentral:tRNA from 1 species
AGAAUGAAAGCCAAAAAGAGGCCCCUGUUUGUUAAUCAGGAGAUUGUAGGUUUUACUACUCAUUUAG